GACGAACGCUGGCGGCGUGCUUAACACAUGCAAGUCGAACGGACAGGCCCUGCUUUUGUGGGGUGCUCGAGUGGCGAACGGGUGAGUAACACGUGAGUAACCUGCCCUUGACUUUGGGAUAACUUCAGGCAACUUGGGCUAAUACCGGAUAGGAGCUCCUGCUGCAUGGUGGGGGUUGGAAAGUUUCGGCGGUUGGGGAUGGACUCGCGGCUUAUCAGCUUGUUGGUGGGGUAGUGGAUUACCAAGGCUUUGCCGGGUAGCCGGCCUGAGAGGGUGACCGGCCACAUUGGGUCGGAGAUACGGCCCAGACUAAUACGGGAGGCAGGAGUGGGGAAUAGUGCACAAUGGGCGGAAGCCUGAUGCAGCAACGCCGCGUGCGGGAUGACGGCCUUCGGGUUGGAAACCGCUUUCGCCUGUGACGAAGCGUGAGUGACGGUAAUGGGUAAAGAAGCACCGGCUAACUACGUG
rnacentral:rRNA from 1 species